AGAGCGAACGCUGGCGGCAGGCCUAACACAUGCAAGUCGAGCGCCCGUAGCAAUACGGGAGCGGCAGACGGGAUAGUAACACGUGGGAACGCGCCCUUCGGUUCGGAAUAACUCAGGGAAACUUGAGCUAAUACCGGAUACGCCCUUACGGGGAAAGAUUUAUUGCCGAAGGAACGGCCCGCGUCCGAUUAGCUAGUUGGUGAGGUAAUGGCUCACCAAGGCGACGAUCGGUAGCUGGUCUGAGAGGAUGACCAGCAUCACUGGGACUGAGACACGGCCCAGACUCCUACGGGAGGCAGCAGUGGGGAAUAUGGACAAUGGGCGCAAGCCUGAUCCAGCCAUGCCGCGUGGAUGAUGAAGGCCUUAGGGUUGUAAAGUCCUUUUAACGGGGAAGAUAAUGACGGUACCGUAGAAUAAGCCCGGCUAACUUCGCGCCAGCAGCCGC
rnacentral:rRNA from 1 species